UUCUACUUCUUAAUAAUUUUAUGAUUCUGUCUCUGUCUGCCUGUUCUUGACCCAGUUCUUGCUCCUGUCUGCCUUGCCCUGCUCAUUGCCUCUGCCCCUCCCGUCACAGAAACCCUAAUCAACUGAUUCAUGUCACCUGUUCCUGCCAGUAUUUAUCCCAGUUCCAGCCUCCAGCCCAUUGCCAGAUUUUCAUCAGCUCGUCUAUGAUCUUCCAGCGUUCUUGUUCCUUGUCCUGCUCUUGCCUCAUGUCCCCGACCCUGCUCAUGUCUCCUGGUUUAACGUCUCCUGCCUCAGCCCUUGUCGGAUCCUGCCUGUCAUCUGCUCUCACGGUAACGACCUUGUUUCUGUCUCUUGGAUUAUUGCCUCUCGCCUUUCCCCUGCACGGUACCUCGCCACAUCGGACUACCUGGAUCUCGACCACGGAACGCAUCUCUGGACCAACGGCUCAGCCUGCCCCCUCAAACCUGGUAACAAUCUCUGACCACCCGUGUAUGACCCUGGAUUUGUUGUUGACAUUGAGUAAACCCCACAGCAGCAUUACCUCCACUAACAACACCACCCGGAACCAAAACACCGUGGCUGUUUCAACCCGGACCCAGUCCCUCCUGAGAAGACCUGCUGCUGCCGGAAUCCCGUUCUCGACCUCCAAUUGCAAAUUCUAACAAUAAACUUGUUAAACCUUUA